UACGGGGGGGGCGAGCGUUGUCCGGAAUCAUUGGGCGUAAAGGGCGCGUAGGCGGGAUCGCAAGUCAGAGGUGAAAACCAUGGGCUUAACUCAUGGCCUGCCUUUGAAACUACGAUUCUUGAGUGCGGUAGAGGGAAGCGGAAUUCCUGGUGUAGCGGUGAAAUGCGUAGAUAUCAGGAAGAACACCGGUAGCGAAGGCGGCUUCCUGGGCCGUAACUGACGCUGAGGCGCGAAAGUGUGGGGAGCAAACAGG
rnacentral:rRNA from 1 species